GAUGAACGCUGGCGGCGUGCCUAAUACAUGCAAGUCGAGCGAACGGACGAGAAGCUUGCUUCUCUGAUGUUAGCGGCGGACGGGUGAGUAACACGUGGAUAACCUACCUAUAAGACUGGGAUAACUUCGGGAAACCGUAGCUAAUACCGGAGAAUAUUUUGAACCGCAGGGUUCAAAAGUGAAAGACGGUCUUGCUGUCACUUAUAGAUGGAUCCGCGCUGCAUUAGCUAGUUGGUAAGGUAACGGCUUACCAAGGCAACGAUGCAUAGCCGACCUGAGAGGGUGAUCGGCCACACUGGAACUGAGACACGGUCCAGACUCCUACGGGAGGCAGCAGUAGGGAAUCUUCCGCAAUGGGCGAAAGCCUGACGGAGCAACGCCGCGUGAGUGAUGACGGUCUUCGGAUCGUAAAACUCUGUUAUUAGGGAAGAACAUAUGUGUAAGUAACUGUGCACAUCUUGACGGUACCUAAUCAGAAAGCCACGGCUAACUACGUG
rnacentral:rRNA from 1 species